rnacentral:lncRNA from 1 species
UUUUUUUUUUUUUUUGCAGGAUCGACCUCGAUUCCUCUUUCAUUCGUAACAUGCCUCGGCAGCUUGCUGGACAGCACUCCAUAAGUCUGCUAAUUCAAACUCAACAGUAUGAGUUAUCUCUACCUGUCAAACCACUGGAUCAGGUCCACCGGAUGCCCCUCUUCUGCUUGGGACUUUGCCAUCAUGUCAUCAACAUGGCAUUCAAUUUCAUGAUGAGUCAU